rnacentral:lncRNA from 1 species
CGGUUGAUCAGUCUUUGAAGUGCGAACCACCUGAAAAAGAAAAGUGUUCAGAAGAAGCAAUGGAUCAGCUCGAGGCAGAACUCCAAGCUGAGUUGGAACGCUUACAACUGCACUUGGAUGGGGAGAAGUUGAAACACUCAGAGCUAUUAAGGGUAGAGGUAAGCUGAAUUGUAUGCUUUGUGGCGUGGUAUCCUGGAACUGUUUCUAUGAACUUAGUAUUGAUGGAUUUGCAGCAAAUGGAUUCCAUUACAUUCUCUGAUGGUAGAAAUCUUCGCAUAGAAAUAUAUGGAAUGAGUUCAUAACAGAUACGCAUGCUGGAAAAUAU